GGCCGUCUCUGCCCCCCUGAUGGACAGCCCGGCUGGCCAAUGACAGCGCAAAGCUGCCGGCGGGAGGCGAAAUCUCCGCCUGACGGGCAGUCGAGCUGCCCAAUCAGGCGAGGCGGGAAAGGGAGCUGAUUCUGGAAGCCAUUACGCCAGUGUCGCAGGGUGGAGGCCGUUGAGCGGGGUUUGCUGGGUGGUUGCGGUACGCAAUUUGCGUAUCGUUGGCUGUGCCAAGGGGGGAGCGGGGGGGGGGGACGGACACCUCCGGGCCCUGAGGGGCCUCGGGGCCCCCCUGUUGUCCCCGGUCCCGGGGGGUGAGCAGGCCUGGGGGGGCCCUGCUGCCCCUCGGCCCGGCCAGGCCUCCCCCAGGGUCCCCUGGGCCCGGCCAGGCCCCCCCACCCCCCCUUGGCCUGCAGGUGUCCCCCAGUGUCCCCUCCUCGGUGCCCCCCCCAAUGGCCAUGGCGUCCCCCCCAGCGCCCCCAGCCAAGAAGCGGAAGAUGAACUUCUCAGAGCGGGAGGUGGAGAUCAUCGUGGAGGAGCUGGAGCGAGGCAAGCACCUCCUCAUCAACCACUUCAAUGCAGGCGUGCCCCUGGCUGCCAAGGCCGCCGCCUGGCACGACAUCCUGCGCCGCGUCAAUGCCGUCGCCACCUGCCACCGUGAGCUGCCCGAGGUCAAGAAGAAAUGGUCUGACCUCAAGACUGAGGUGCGACGCAAAGUGGCCCAAGUCCGGGCUGCCAUGGAAGGGGGAGGCGAGAGCCAGAACGGCAACGGCAAUGGGACGGAGAGCGAAGACCCGACGGGCACCGCCACCGCCCCAGUUAUCCUCACCCCCAUGCAGCAACGCAUCUGCAACCUCCUGGGAGAAGCCACCAUCAUCAGUUUGCCGAGUGGGGACUGCAGCGCGGGUGACGGGACUGAGAUACCCAUCACCGCCUCGGCCACCACAGUCACCCUGACGCAGAUUCCUGCAGAGACAACCUACCACAGUCUGGAGGACGGGGUCGUGGAGUACUGCACAACAGAAGCCCCCACCACAGUCACGGCUGAAGCACCCUUGGAGAUGAUGGCGCAUCAACAUGAAGUGUCUGCGAAACCCCAGGAGCUGAAAAGCCGAAUUGCCCUGAACUCAGCCAAGCUCUUGCAGGAACAGCGGGUGACCAACUUGCACGUGAAGGAGAUCGCCCAGCACCUGGAGCAGCAGAAUGACUUGCUUCAGAUGAUCCGUCGCUCUCAGGAGGUGCAGGCAUGUGCUCAGGAGCGACAGGCACAAGCCAUGGAAGGAACACAGGCGGCACUGAGUGCCCUCAUCCAGGUCCUCCGCCCCAUGAUUAAGGACUUCCGUCGAUUUUUGCAGAGCAAUACACCCAGUCCGUCGGUCACCAGUGACCCCAGCCAGACGGGGCAGCAAGAUGGCAUGAUCCAGUGAAAGAAACAGUGAUGGGACAUCUUUCUUGGAAAAAACCUGCCCGUGCUGCUGGUGGAUGCAGGGAGCAAGGGGUGCUAGCUCUUGUUGAUGUGAAAUGGCUCGCCUUGGAGUCUUGCUGAGCCUAAACAGCUUUCUUUCUCUGCUAAUCUCAUGCUAAUCUGCCUAUUCAGACUCAUUAUAUGGAGCCAUAGCAGGAUGUGUAAUAAACCAGGAACUUAACGUUGGUUGCUUUAGUUCCUCAAACAAUAGAUUUAUUAAAAAAAAAAAGACAGUUAUUUUUUUAUUUCUGUUUGGAAAGAACUCUCCUAAGUAUGACACCGUUCUCUUUCUCUCUCAAGAUCUAUAGCCUUUAACUGACUUCUAACAUGGAGAGUCUUGUUCCGAUAUCACAGUACUGCAGCUGCCAAGGUACAGUUAUCGUAAACGGUAGUGAAUGCAUUUCUGUCUCUUGCUGAAAGCAUUUACUGGAAACGUGGUGCCGGAUGUGGUACAACCUUCUCUCUGCACCAAGAGUUAUGGAUAGUGCUCUUGCAGCGUAACAUCCUGCCCAUGCAGACCAGCACCAAGCCUACAUACAGUUUAAAUCUCACCCACAUGCCCUGAGGAUAUAAAUGGGAUUAAAAUAGUGCAUUGACCUCAUGUUCUACUUGUGUGCAGUCAUGAAAUUUCACUAUCAACUUGGCAGAUGUGAUGAAAAUUUCGUGUCUUGGUUACCAGAUGCUGUCCUGGGAUAUGUAUCGGAAGCAAUGUAUUGCCUGUCUCAGCAUAGCUAAUACACAAGGGCCUGGAUGAGUUUCGCUCAGAGAUUUGUGUUCAGCAUCCAAAGCAGGAAAGAGCCGCAUGGGGAUGUUCUGCCACAGGGUGGUGAGGUGAGGGGCGAGGGCGAGCAGCUGGGCAGCGAGUGGCAUCCUUCGUACCUGCUGGAGGAAGAGAAGUUUGGUGGUGGACUCUUGGUGGGUCAGAAGAUGAACUUUGCAGCAAUUAGAGGCAGCAGCCAAGCUGCCUGCAGCACCAUUAAGCUGCUUCAGGAGCAAAACUCUGGUUGUGAUGUGUGCGGCUCAGGCACGGCUUUCCAGGAGAUGGCACUGCGCAACGGGGCAAGGCGCGGGGACCCUGCACUGCAGCAAGGUACUGCCCGUGUCCGGCUCUGGCAGACCCAGAGAUGACCCUCGUCAUCCACACCUUCUGUGAUCCUGCUCACUCCUCUCACUGAUGAAUCUUUUCAAGACUGACAGCCUGGAGAGGAAGAAAUUCAAUGGACAGAGCUCAGGGGAUGAGGAACGCCUGUAGCCCUAGGAAAGUCGCAAUGCUUGGGAACACAAACCGGGUCCCUCUGCUUCCCGCAAACAUGGGCAGAGGACACGGAGAUGUCAGGAGCUUGUGGCACUCUUUGGGGUGAGUUCACUGCGGAAGCAAACAGGUAGGCACAAAAUAAAAAAAACUCACAAAUUCUUGUAGGCAAAGGGACAGGUUUUAAGGUUUUUAUGAGACACAAAAAUAUGUCAGUAUCCCAUGAGUACAGUGUGCUGCCAUAGCUACAUCGCAGUGCUGGGAGUGGAUCCCUGCUGAGGGACAGAAUGAUAUCAUCUGCAUACUCACUUAAAUUACCUUUACCUCCUCCAGCAUGUUUUUAAAGUUCGUCAAGCCUGUUUUGACAAAGCACUCUUCUGGGGUUUUGUGUGUUUUUUUUCCUGUUGCCAUCUGCGAGGUUAUUGCCAGCAGGUACUGUCAGCACAAGUGUGGCCUGCUAAAUAUGAAAAUUGAAGCAUUUAAGAUUCUUUUGUCUUUCUUGAAAGCAUCUGAAGAGAAGCUUCACACAAACGAUCAGCACAGCUUCCAGGCUGUGUUUUGCGAGCAGGAAUGAAGCCUGCAUUGCCUGUGAACUGAGCUCACCAGCCCUGGGGUCCCAGCCCUGCAAGGGAGAAGUCAAGGGAGAAGCCCAGCCCCAGCAGGGACAGUUUGUUACCUCUACUGCCUGGGAUCCCAAAUUAGAGGUUGCCAUGUCAAAUGGGAACCACAGACUUACAGUUUUGGGGUAACAGCAGCAUUUGUGGGGCUGCAGGCAGGAGAACGGAACCAGUGGGAGAGCCCAUGGCCAGCAGGUCUCUUGUCCAGCAGAGCGCUGAAGGCAACACCUGGCAUACAGAGCCAGGAUAACGCUCAAUAAACACAACAAGCCUCAAGGCAAAGCGGGUUCCAGUCUGCAGAUUUGGGAAGGGGCAAACCAGCUCCCGUUCCGCCCAUAGGCCUCCCAGAAAGAAGCAGCGGAGAGUCCUGCCGCACCUUCCCAGGACACACUGGAGCAGAUAUGGAAACCGGUAAACAAAAAAAAGCCAGGCAGCUGGAUUUUCAGGUCUGGCUACAUGUUUGGGGAAAGGAAUCCACCGACUCCAGAUUCCUGUGCUCCCUUUGUCUCUGCCGAUAACAGGAUCCCCCAGGAGCCCACCAUGCAGGUGCGUCCUUUGCACAUCCAACAGGAAACCCAGCCUGGCACAGAAAGUGAAACAGUUCUGGCCUUUACGAUAAUGACUUCAGUUAAAUAUGGAACUAGUGAAAAACACGAGCAGAUCAAAGUAGCGCUCACAGCCUGUUAUUAAAUUAAGCCAAGAAGACGCAAGCAUGGAAUAACUCCAUAGGAUAAUGCUACGGAAUGGGGAGAGGUACUCAUUCCCCUCACAGGGUUUCCAGUAGCCUGCACGCUGCAGAUGGGGCUCACGCUGCUGCCAUCUCCUGCCCUGGGGGGGCUGCACCCCUGCCCCAUUUUGGGAGCCCCCCAGCCUGGGUCUGGCCCCCCAGCCCUGGGGAAGGCACCCAGCGCGGUGCCCAGCCCCUCAGAGCCCGUGUUUGUCCACCAGCAGCGCAAAAAACAUCUUUACAGCAUAAAGUGUCGUGUGAUAAUCUUUUCUUCUUGGAUGAUGAGGCUGAAAGCUCAUUAAAGCUAUUUUAACAGAGGUUACAGGUGUAACAGAGGAGAGCCAUUACUGUGUUUACGCUGUUGCAGCAACAUGUAUAAUUUAGUUUUCAAACUUUAAUCAUUUGGCUGCUAGGACAAAUGAAUUAGCGUGAUGAUGUUUUCCAGAGGAAGACGCUGAUGAUGUAGUUUACAGGGUUUGAUGUAUCUGGGAUGCCCCUGGGAUAAGAGAUAGGAUUUGAUGGCUCACCAAAUGCAUUACAGAACGUAUCUCGCUUCACCUCGCUGAGUUUUAUACCUUCUGAAUUUAUCUUGCCUUGUUUCUACCCGGCUGCUUUAUCUCGGUCCUCGAAGUGGGGAGGGAAGAGGCAAGAAAAGCCAUCUCUGUUCCUGCUCACUCGCAGUCUCAAGGAUGAGCAGAGCAGAGAGAUCCCAGCUCCUGGCCGGUGAGACACACCUCCAGUGACAGCAGAGGUGAGGCCCAGACUUAACUGCAGAGCCCAAACUGAUAAAUUACCCCAGACUGAUAAGACAAUGCCCUGAGACAGCAAAAGUUGAGGAAGUGGCGGUGGCACUGGGGAGCGGCAUCAGGAGAGGCUUAGGUCAGGGAGAGCAUGGGGCAGGGAUGUGGCUGAGGCUCAUGGAGCAGAGGUGAGGUGGGCACAGCGGGGGUGAGACUGUAGAAGAGAAACCAACAGCAUUUGGGUCAGGGGUAAGCGGAAUCAAUAUAUAUCAGAGCGCCCUGUUCACACACACAGCCCCUUAGUGAAUGGAUUGGACCUGGAUCGGAAAAUCAUAUAAAGCCAGCAGGAUGGCAGAUAGAUGGAGAGACCCUAUGGCCACAUCCCCUCCGCAGUGCCUCCGUGGGGCUCAGACUCACCCACACUGACACCUUUCCCAGCAGGGCACACGUUCAGAGGAGCACUGUCCCUUUAAAAAAUGUGAAUUUCUUCAGAAAUAAUUAUGCAGCACAAACACAGAAAAAUCAACAGGGUGAAUUUCAAACUAAUAAAGAUUUAAUCUCCAAGUCAUGAGACUGCGUUUGUUAGGAAAAUAUACAUACCCCUGAGAAUCGAGCUACGGUUGCUGUAUUACACACUGUUCAGCAGUUCACUGGGCAUUUUUCCAAAUCCGUUUAUUUUUAACAUCAGUCACAUUAUUCAAUUAAUUAUAAAAACACUGAGGUUUUCAAGAGAUGUUUCUGAUAAAACUGCAGAGUAAAUAUGCGU